CAGCCUGAUAUUCAACGCCUGCUGCCUCGAAUGCUUCAAACGCCUCUUGCAGGCAUGUCUUACUUGCGAUUCGGUUUCUUGAACAAUGAUACUGUCUACUAUUGCUAGUGAUUCUUGCUGUGCAGGAGCUAUACAUCUAAAGAUAGUCUGUAUAACUGAAAGGACUCGAACAAAAUUGUAAAGGCCGCCUUAACCACUGUUUUGCCUCAAACAUACAUCGCAAAUUGCAUGACCGAGGCCUUCGCAAUGAGGGCAUUUUGCUCCCUCGUCUAUCCAUUCCACGAACUGCAUGCAAACCUCGAUCAGUUCAAUCUCGGAAAACCGCUCUCUCGCAACAAUGUAAAAGAGGGAAAAACAUCCAUUCCUCGUUUUACCUGCGGCUCAGUGUUUGGCUCCCCUGUCCCAUCCCAUCACAUUCUGCAAGAUCGGCAACCUUUUAGUCCCACAAGAAGUGAAUUUUACUCUUACCAAACAGAACAAGUUAAUCUUUUUGGUCUAGCUUCUCUCUCUAUUAACUUUGUUCGUUAGGACAAACAACUAAAGUUCACUUUUUUUUUGUUGUGGGGGGAGAUAAUUGAUGGAGGUGUCCGAACGAGAUGAGUAGCCCAUUCUAGCAAAAUCCCAAUUGGCGAGAGCCAAAACAAAGGCAGAGGAAGAUGAUGCUGCGGUGCGGAAACAUGCCCAUGGUCGUUGCCUGUCGGCCUUCGUCGAGACGACCCAUGUGUUUCGCUUCCGCCCACACCACUGACACGGAGCAACUGCGCGCUCAGCUCGAUCAGCUUCACGCAGAGGCAGAAACCACCAGAACCAAAGCAAAUAAUGCGAGAUUGCGGCUGUUGCGGUUAUCCGAGGCUGCAGAGAAGCUACGGCGACAGGCAUCCAUCAACGUCCAAACAGGGAAGGAAAAUGAUGCGAGGGAACUGCUGUUGCAGAAGAAGAAAAUAAUGCAGGCUCUGGAGAAGUCAAAUAGCCGGAUUCGGUUGCUGGACGAACUCUCUGCUAAGCUAAAUGAGGCGAUAUCUAUUAAAGAGUCUCAGCUUAUUGGAAAUGUAGCUGCAGAUCUUGAAGUUGGCAGUAAUAAUAUGUCCAAUCCAGUUCAUAUAGUGUCUCCAAAGCAGGACAUAUUGGAAGUUGUACACGAGAAAGAAAGUUCUGAUCCUGGUGUUUCGGAAAAUGGCGAAAGGACAGACUCGGAUGCUUCUCUUAGUCCUGAAGGAAAUCUAGCUUUUGACAAUAAUGCAGACCAUAUCGAAGAACAUGUCAGUGUCAGUAGAAAUAUUGAGAAUCACGUGGUCGAUAGGUUGAAUAGAAUUUCUUCCUUUGAUGAUUUUUUGGAAGGGCUUGACGAGCAACUAAAGAAGAUCGAAGAAGAACUCACAACCAUCUCAAUGGUCUCAACUUUAAUAUUAGAUGUCAAGGAGAAUCGACAAAACAUGAGGAUGCAACAGAUAAUUGAACUUAUUGAGAGCGUCAGGGACAUCAGGGAGAGGAUCUCAGGUAUGAUGCAGAAGGUAGAGACUACAUAGUUUGCGAAAUAUUAUGUUGAUUAUUUGCCAGCUGGCGGACAGUUUCUCCUCCUACAUACAUAUCUGUAAAAAUGGCACGUACAGAUGAUACUUCAGUGAGCAUUGCAUGAGAAUCAAAAUAGCAAUGAUAUUCUAAAAUAGAUCUUGUGUGGUUCCUUGUGUGAAAGAAUAGCUACCAGUAGACAUUGCUCCUGUGGUCUACUAAUAGAUCAGGUAAGUUGUCUAAACCGAUUGCAUAUACAACUAAUUAACAACGGAUCGAGUGUUGAUUUUCCUCUAUACACUCUAUACGUCGGUCUUGAAUCUGGAUGGGGAGCUGAGAGCUGACUCCAUUGGAACAAUCAUCGAAUAGCUGGCUUCAGUUUGAGGUCUCUGGUCAUCUUUGUCUGAGAAUGGGGGGAAUGGCUCCAAUCAUAAUCCUCGUUCAACUUCAUCUGGUCUAGUACUUGACGUAUAAAGGUCACCCAACCUUCAGUUCCAUGCACUCUGGUUGUAAAGAGUAAGGGAUUGCUUUCAAGGACUGCGAAGGAUGAAGCCACAUACACUUCUUCAGAAGGGCAUUAGCUUUUGACGAUAUAGUUAGAGUACACUAAGCAUACAGAGGAGGGACAGACAUGAUGGUAUGUGCUCGAGGUCUUCUUUGAGCACACUGAGCAUGAACACCAAGCAGAUGAUAACAGUGCAUGCUUCCUGAACUUUGGCAGGGCCAGGGACUUAUCUUCGUAAAUCUUUGGAAAGUUCAACUCGUCAAGCUGAUCAGAAUCUCCUCCUAAGGCAUCAGUUCUGAAGUUUUUAUUAUCUUUUUAAUUGCACAUUAUGAUGGUUUUGGUUCCAAUGAUGUCUAUUGUUCUAAAGUUUAUCCAAUAACAGCAAUGUGUUGAUAGUUGUCUAAAUAAUGACAGGAGUUACUAUCCAACUUAGCAAAGUUUCAGGGAGAAAAAUUGGAAUUGCACAAGUGUAGCAGAAACUCACAGACCGAGCAGAAACAAUUACCUGAUAGAUCCAUCAUUAUCAAGGUCUGCAGCAACUAAAUCCCCAAGGGUCAUCUUCCUCUGCAGAACCCAUUUCGCGACUCUGCGAUUCCUCUUGUCGAUCCUCAGCUCAGUCAGGUACAAAAAUGCCCUAGCAACCGCCAAUGUGCUUACCAGUAGCCAAAUUAUGGCGAAACAUCUUCCUGCCAACGUCGUGAAUGCAUAGUCCCCAUAUCCGACUGUCGUAACCGAUGUAACAGACAGAUAAAAACUAUCCACCCAGCCCAAAUCCUCUACGAAAUGCGCGCCGAUAGUCCCUAUAGCUAUGCAGCUAACCACAACCGCCAAAGCCACGCACACUUUCAUCCUUAUUCUCAUCCUUCCCUUCUCUCUGUCGAUCAUAUAAGUCCUGACCAUCGCAUUGAACUUGUUUUGAUCCACAGUGCUCAGCAAAACCGCCUCUUGCCGGUCGCAGAUGUAGGUGACCAUGCCAUGGAGCAGGAUAUCGACAAAUCCAAAGCCCACCAGUAUGAAAGCACAAGUGAACAGCUUGGUGAAUGUCGUGUCCGGCACGAUAUCGCCAAAGCCAAUUGUGCAAAGAGUGACCAUGGUGAAGUACAGAGCAUCGACCGGUUUGAACGUGGUUGUGCCUUUGAAGCUCCCGCUCGUCAAGUAUACCACAAUGCCGGCUAUUAUGUACAAGACGAAGCCGAUGAAGGCUUGCCUGACAAUCAGAGGCGAUUUAGGGGGCAGCCGGGGAUCCUCCUCGUUGAUUAUGGUUUCCUUGUGAAAGGUGAGCACGGAAGGAGCCGAGUGCGAGCGGUGGGCGAGUUGUCUCUUCUUGGUCAGGUUGGCGAUGAGAUUCACAUAGGAAGAAGAGUGGGGCGUUGUGAUUAUGGGGAUGAUGGCAUCGUUUGUUAUGAGGUGCGUCGUGGAUUGCCGCCUCGGCGUGCCGAGGUUGCCGAUGUUGAGAUCAAGGAAACCUGAAGGAUAACCUCUCCGGACCGUCAACCUGCUCGAUGUCUCGGCAGGUCCUGGUGCGGAGAGGAGAGGUUCAUCAUCCAUGGUGAAUCUGCACCCUAAAACUCCCAGAAACUGGAGGCGUUUUGGAGGAUUCUUUUUUCCCCCUCUUGGAUAAAAAAUGAUGAGGAAAGGGCCACCUGCAAGUCAACUCAUUUACAGAGGAGAAGCAUGGCUCUGAGAGGUAGUUGGGCUGAGAGUCAAAAUAAGGAGACACCCCAGAGCAUGGAUCACGCUUUAAACUUCCAAACCUGUCACAAUCGCUUCUAACUUCCCAGAGUCGUACUUCUUGCGUAGUACCUGUCCUGAAAAGCGCAGUUUUCAGCAGUGAACUCUUCACCGAAAUAAGAAGCACUCUGUUUUAGCUGCGGAUAUGGUGGAUUGUACUAUUGGUUGACGAGGAUGGUUCUGUGAGUCUUGGCAAUUGUUUACCAAAUUCAGUGAGCUAAUUGAUGCAGGAAAGAGAGUUGGAAGUUUAGAACCAUGUAUGCAAGUCGAAGCUGGUCGACGUUGGACAUGGUCGAUACCAUAUCAUGUUUUCCCAUAUCAACAGUAGUUGGUUGUUUUGCAUCGUUGGUUCGUGGAUCGCGACUUGAUAGAUAGAGUCAUCGAGCGCGUCGAGUCGGAAUAGUACAGAAGCCAACUGAUGCCUCGCCGCGCAUGAAUUUACAUGUGUGGAAGGCUUGACCCAACUGGAAAUCUUGGACAAACUGCAGAUACUGAAAGCAUGCAAAUCUGAGAAAAGCUUGAUCUGAAGAACUUUUCCAGUUCAUUUUCCAAGGAAAAAUUGCAUUAGUGUUUCAGGAAAAAUGCAUGAGGUGGGGGGUCUCGAGAUCUUUGGUCAGGGCUCCUGAUUUUGUUUGGUCUUACUCACUCACUUCUUGGGUCGGGUCCAAUCUUCCUGCCUGCUCAUCUUUUGACUUUUAUUUUCGCAAAAAACCAAAGAACAGAUCUUUCAAAAUUCUCUCUUUUUUUCCACGAAAGAACAAAGCGAGGAAAAGAAAAGAGGGGCAAAGGGCUCAGAUAUUUUUGUUGACCAACAGGAACUGGAUCUGCCAACGUUAAAGGUCCGUUGUUGUUGGAGUAACUCCGGCAUCAGCACUCAAAACUGUCAACGCGCAGCUCCACCAUUCACGGGUUGCAUGCUGCUAUGUCCAGCUUGAUUUUUCCAGCUCCAUUUGCUUCAUUUUCUUCUAUAAUGAGCAGCUUCCAAGUGACUACCUGCUACUGCUUGAUUGAAUUAAACUUCUUCU